rnacentral:rRNA from 1 species
UAAAAACCCCGACUUCGGAAGGGGUGUAUUUAUUAGAUACAAAACCAAUGCCCUUCGGGGCUCUUUGGUGAUUCAUGAUAACUAUACAAAUCGCACGGCCUUGCGCCGGCGAUGGUUCAUUCAAAUUUCUUCCCUAUCAACUUUCGAUGUUUGGGUAUUGGCCAAACAUGGUUGCAACGGGUAACGGAGGGUUAGGGCUCGACCCCGGAGAAGGAGCCUGAGAAACGGCUACUACAUCCAAGGAAGGCAGCAGGCGCGCAAAUUACCCAAUCCCGACUCGGGGAGGUAGUGACAAUAAAUACUGAUACAGGGCCCUUUCGGGCCUUGUAAUUGGAAUGAGUACAAUUUAAAUCCCUUAACGAGGAACAAUUGGAGGGCAAGUCUGGUGCCAGCAGCCGCGGUAAUUCCAGCUCCAAUAGCGUAUAUUAAAGUUGUUGUGGUUAAAAAGCUCGUAGUUGAACCUUGGGCCUGGCUGGCCGGUCCGCCUCACCGCGUGCACUGGUCCGGCCGGGCCUUUCCCUCUGUGGAACCCCAUACCCUUCACUGGGCGUGGCGGGGAAACAGGACAUUUACUUU